rnacentral:rRNA from 1 species
UACGGAGGGUGCGAGCGUUGUCCGGAAUCAUUGGGCGUAAAGGGCGCGUAGGUGGCCCGGUCAGUUUGUGGUGAAAGCGCGGGGCUCAACUCCGCGUCGGCCAUGAAUACUGCUGGGCUGGAGCACUGUAGAGGCAGGCGGAAUUCCGGGUGUAGCGGUGGAAUGCGUAGAGAUCCGGAAGAACACCGGUGGCGAAGGCGGAAUCGUCUGGGCCUUACCGUCGACGAC